rnacentral:rRNA from 1 species
GACUACAUGAAGCUGGAAUCGCUAGUAAUCGCGAAUCAGAAUGUCGCGGUGAAUACGUUCCCGGGUCUUGUACACACCGCCCGUCACACCAUGGGAGUCGGAAAUGCCCAAAGUCAGUGACCUAACCGAAAGGGAGGAGCUGCCGAAGGUGGAGCCGGUAACUGGGGUGAAGUCGUAACAAGGUACC